rnacentral:rRNA from 1 species
GAUGAACGCUGGCGGCGUGCCUAAUACAUGCAAGUCGAGCGAACGGACGAGAAGCUUGCUUUUCUGAUGUUAGCGGCGGACGGGUGAGUAACACGUGGAUAACCUACCUAUAAGACUGGGAUAACUUCGGGAAACCGGAGCUAAUACCGGAUAAUAUUUUGAACCGCAUGGUUCAAAAGUGAAAGACGGUCUUGCUGUCACUUAUAGAUGGAUCCGCGCUGCAUUAGCUAGUUGGUAAGGUAACGGCUUACCAAGGCAACGAUGCAUAGCCGACCUGAGAGGGUGAUCGGCCACACUGGAACUGAGACACGGUCCAGACUCCUACGGGAGGCAGCAGUAGGGAAUCUUCCGCAAUGGGCGAAAGCCUGACGGAGCAACGCCGCGUGAGUGAUGAAGGUCUUCGGAUCGUAAAACUCUGUUAUUAGGGAAGAACAUAUGUGUAAGUAACUGUGCACAUCUUGACGGUACCUAAUCAGAAAGCCACGGCUAACUACGUGCCAGCAGCCGCGGUAAUACGUAGGUGGCAAGCGUUAUCCGGAAUUAUUGGGCGUAAAGCGCGCGUAGGCGGUUUUUUAAGUCUGAUGUGAAAGCCCACGGCUCAACCGUGGAGGGUCAUUGGAAACUGGAAAACUUGAGUGCAGAAGAGGAAAGUGGAAUUCCAUGUGUAACGGUGAAAUGCGCAGAGAUAUGGAGGAACACCAGUGGCGAAGGCGACUUUCUGGUCUGUAACUGACGCUGAUGUGCGAAAGCGUGGGGAUCAAACAGGAUUAGAUACCCUGGUAGUCCACGCCGUAAACGAUGAGUGCUAAGUGUUAGGGGGUUUCCGCCCCUUAGUGCUGCAGCUAACGCAUUAAGCACUCCGCCUGGGGAGUACGACCGCAAGGUUGAAACUCAAAGGAAUUGACGGGGACCCGCACAAGCGGUGGAGCAUGUGGUUUAAUUCGAAGCAACGCGAAGAACCUUACCAAAUCUUGACAUCCUUUGACAACUCUAGAGAUAGAGCCUUCCCCUUCGGGGGACAAAGUGACAGGUGGUGCAUGGUUGUCGUCAGCUCGUGUCGUGAGAUGUUGGGUUAAGUCCCGCAACGAGCGCAACCCUUAAGCUUAGUUGCCAUCAUUAAGUUGGGCACUCUAAGUUGACUGCCGGUGACAAACCGGAGGAAGGUGGGGAUGACGUCAAAUCAUCAUGCCCCUUAUGAUUUGGGCCACACACGUGCUACAAUGGACAAUACAAAGGGCAGCGAAACCGCGAGGUCAAGCAAAUCCCAUAAAGUUGUUCUCAGUUCGGAUUGUAGUCUGCAACUCGACUACAUGAAGCUGGAAUCGCUAGUAAUCGUAGAUCAGCAUGCUACGGUGAAUACGUUCCCGGGUCU